GAGUUUGAUCCUGGCUCAGAACGAACGUUGGCGGCGUGGAUUAGGCAUGCAAGUCGAGCGAGAACCGGGUAGCAAUACCCGGGGAAAGUGGCGAAAGGGGCAGUAAGGCGUGGGUAACCUACCCCGGGGACGGGGAUAGCCAUCCUAACGGAUGGGUAAUACCUGGCGAUUCGGCGAGGGGACAUCCUCUUACCGGGAAAUGAAUUUCGCCUCGGGAGGGGCUCACGUGAUAUUAGCUUGUUGGCGGGGUAACGGCCCACCAAGGCAAAGAUGUCUAGCGGGUGUGAGAGCACGACCCGCGCCACUGGCACUGAGACACUGGCCAGACUCCUACGGGAGGCUGCAGUCGAGGAUCUUCGGCAAUGGGCGCAAGCCUGACCGAGCGACGCCGCGUGUGCGAUGAAGGCCUUCGGGUUGUAAAGCACUGUCGAGGGGGAGGAAGCCGAAAGGUUGACCUAUCCCUGGAGGAAGCACGGGCUAAGUUCGUGCCAGCAGCCGCGGUAAGACGAACCGUGCAAACGUUGUUCGGAAUCACUGGGCUUAAAGGGCGCGUAGGCGGGCCGGAUAGUCUGUGGUGAAAGCCUCCAGCUUAACUGGAGAAGUGCCAUGGAUACUGCCGGUCUGGAGGAGGGUAGGGGCAUCUGGAACGCUGGGUGGAGCGGUGAAAUGCGUUGAUAUCCAGCGGAACUCCGGUGGCGAAGGCGAGGUGCUGGACCCUUUCUGACGCUGAGGCGCGAAAGCCAGGGGAAGCAACGGGAUUAGAUACCCCGGUAGUCCUGGCCCUAAACGAUGAGGACUAGGUAGUGGACUUACA
rnacentral:rRNA from 1 species